GAUGAACGCUGGCGGCGUGCCUAAUACAUGCAAGUCGAGCGAACAGACGAGGAGCUUGCUCCUCUGAUGUUAGCGGCGGACGGGUGAGUAACACGUGGAUAACCUACCUAUAAGACUGGGAUAACUUCGGGAAACCGGAGCUAAUACCGGAUAACAUGUUGAACCGCAUGGUUCAACAGUGAAAGACGGUCUUGCUGUCACUUAUAGAUGGAUCAGCGCCGCAUUAGCUAGUUGGUAAGGUAACGGCUUACCAAGGCAACGAUGCGUAGCCGACCUGAGAGGGUGAUCGGCCACACUGGAACUGAGACACGGUACAGACUCCAACGGGAGGCAGCAGUAGGGAAUCUUCCGCAAUGGGCGAAAGCCUGACGGAGCAACGCCGCGUGAGUGAAGAAGGUCUUCUGAUCGUAAAACUCUGUUAUUCGGGAAGAACAAAUGUGUAAGUAACUAUGCACGUCUUGACGGUACCUAAUCAGAAAGCCACGGCUAACUACGUG
rnacentral:rRNA from 1 species